GCCUGUGUAGCUCAGUUGGUAGAGCAACGGUAUCGUAAACCGUAGGUCGUCGGUUCGACCCCGACCACAGGCU
rnacentral:tRNA from 4 species